rnacentral:sRNA from 1 species
UUUUCUGAAAUUCUCGUCUCAGAAAACCACCGACACUCUUAGCAAGGAAGCUGAACCUCCUGGGUUUUGCCAACACAUUUUUCCAUAGUUUGGUAAAGAAAGAAACCUCGAAAUUCUACAUGUGGUUUUUCUUCUUUAUAAAAUCAAGUAAGAGGGCACUUUAGGACUGAGUUUCCACCCAAGUACUUCGGUUUUCUCUCCAGAUAUGAACAUCUUUACAGUUCAAGUCGAUGAAAACAGAAGAUACAUGCAAAACCUGACAGUUGAACAACCUAUUGAAGUUAAAAAGCUUUUCGUUGGGGGUGCUCCGCCUGAAUUUCAACCUUCCCCACUCAGAAAUAUUCCUCCUUUUGAAGGCUGUGUAUGGAAUCUUGUUAUUAACUCUGUCCCCAUGGACUUUGCAAGGCCUGUAUCCUUCAAAAACGCUGACAUUGGUCGCUGUGCCCAUCAGAAACUCCGUGAAGAUGAAGAUGGAGCAGCUCCAGCUGAAAUAGUUAUCCAGCCUGAGCCAGUUCCCACCCCAGCCUUUCCUACGCCCACCGCAGUUCUGACACAUGGUCCUUGUGCUGC